rnacentral:lncRNA from 1 species
UGGAUUUUGGGCUAAGAAACGGUUUUGCUUAAAAGGUUUCGGGCUAAAGUAUAAUUAAAGAUGGACGGACCAAUUUAGUUAAGAGUGCACUCUCUUUCUGACCAAUUUAGUUAAGUGGGCUUUUGGGAUUCGAUCCAAAUCGGAAAUUUUUAUGUUUAGUGGUAUGUCCCCAAUGCAGAGAGAGAGCUUCUUUUAUGUUUGCUUGCUACUAGUUUCUUCUUCAUUAUGCAUUUUCAGUUGAUGAUUUUUCAAAAUCAAAAGAUUUAUGCAGUCAAGAAACUUUUGUCCAAGGUAUGCCACUAUAUGUUGAUUCUUCAAACAAGUUUUUACACUAUAAAACUUUGCUGUUGAUUCUUCAAACUUUGCUUGACUGAACUAAUAGUAUGUUAUCUUUCACGGCGAUACGGAAGAGGCGUUGGGCUCAACAGACAACAGACAUGGUCAGGGAUCAUCAAAAGCUUUGUUUCAUGAAUAUCAAGGCAUCAAUGAAAUGGUAUGAUUGUAUGAAUUUUUUCUUCUGUGUCAGUAUAGAUUAGUUACCUCAAGAAUCUCUAUUUCUUUUAUCUGUUUUACAAAAAAUCUUUUCUCUAUAAUGAUUUUUUUUUCCUUAAUUCGUUACAACAAUGACUAUCCAUCCUAGGCUUGUAUAGAUUGACCAUGAAUGCCUAAAAGCUGGAUAGUUCGUUGUGUAACUCACCAGAAUGAGACAGCUAAAUCCCAUAUUCUUCUUAAUCUUGCAGGUUUAGCUGAUACUUUGGCUAUCUGAUCCUCCAUUAGCCGCUCCACGUCAGGACUCAUAUCGUGGACCAUUUUAACCGACUCGGAGAGACGGUU